rnacentral:rRNA from 1 species
AGAGUUUGAUCAUGGCUCAGAGCGAACGCUAGCGGCAGGCUUAACACAUGCAAGUCGAACGCGUGCUUUCGGGCACGAGUGGCGAACGGGUGAGUAACACGUGGGUCACGUACCCUGAGGUGGGGGAUAACCCGAGGAAACUCGGGCUAAUACCGCAUAUGGCUACGGCUAAAAGCCUUCGGGCGCCUUUGGAACGGCCCGCGGCCGAUUAUUUAAUCCUAGUUGGUGAGGUAACGGCUCACCAAGGGUACGAUCGGUAGCUGGUCUGAGAGGACGAUCAGCCACACUGGGACUGAGACACGGCCCAGACUCCUACGGGAGGCAGCAGUGGGGAAUAUUGGACAAUGGGCGAAAGCCUGAUCCAGCCAUGCCGCGUGGGUGAAGAAGGCCUUCGGGUUGUAAAGCCCUGUCGGGAGGGAAGAAAAAAAUGACGGUACCUCGCAAGAAAGCACCGGCUAACUCCGUGCCAGCAGCCGCGGUAAUACGGAGGGUGCAAGCGUUGCUCGGAAUCACUGGGCGUAAAGCGACCGCAGGCGGCCUGACAAGUCGGAUGUGAAAGCCCUGGGCUCAACUCAGGAAUUGCAUUCGAAACUGGCAGGCUUGAGUACGGGAGAGGGGGGUGGAAUUCCUGGUGUAGGGGUGAAAUUCGUUGAUAUCAGGAGGAACACCGGCGGCGAAGGCGGCCCCCUGGCCCGCAACUGACGCUCAUGGUCGAAAGCGUGGGGAGCAAACAGGAUUAGAUACCCUCGUAGUCC